GUCCUCUUUAUAUUCCACCAUCUCUCUAUUUUAAUUGUUCAUUGAAGCCCUUGUGGAAACUUAUUGGUGCUUGGUACAACAACUAAAGAAUCAAUGUUGACUUAGCAGCACCAUGGCUGGAGCCCCUUGCUGCCCUUCUAAGAUCAUGAAAGCCACUGCACUGUCAUUCUUGAAGCCAAAUUUGCCACCAUUUGGUAGAGUAAUCCCCACUGUGAUGUUGAUACGAUGCACUUAUUUUUUAACAGGGUGUACUUAUUUUUCAGCAUGAUGUAUUCGUAACUAGCAUCCUUUGAUGUAAACUGAAAGAUCAUGUUAUAUCCAAGUAUUUUAGGUCAUAUGGAAAUUAUGAAUGUAAAAA